UACGUAGGGUGCAAGCGUUGUCCGGAAUUACUGGGCGUAAAGAGCUCGUAGGUGGUUUGUCGCGUUGUUCGUGAAAACUCACAGCUCAACUGUGGGCGUGCGGGCGAUACGGGCAGACUUGAGUACUGCAGGGGAGACUGGGAUUCCUGGUGUAGCGGUGGAAUGCGCAGAUAUCGGGAAGAACACCCGUGGCGAAGGCGGUUCUCUGGGACGGUACUGACGCUGAGGUGCGAAAGCCAGGGGAGCGAACGGG
rnacentral:rRNA from 1 species